UGGGGUAACGGCCCACCGUGCCAAUAAUCGGUACGGGUCAUGAGAGUGAGAACCCGGAGACGGAAUCUGAGACAAGAUUCCGGGCCCUACGGGGCGCAGCAGGCGCGAAACCUUUACACUGCACGCCAGUGCGAUAAGGGGAUCCCAAGUGCGUAGGCAUAGAGCCUACGCUUUUGUCUACCCUAGGGUGGUAGACGAAUAAGGGCUGGGCAAGACCGGUGCCAGCCGCCGCGGUAAUACCGGCAGCCCAAGUGAUGGCCGAUCUUAUUGGGCCUAAAGCGUCCGUAGCUGGCCGCACAAGUCCAUCGGGAAAUCCACCUGCUCAACAGGUGGCCGUCCGGUGGAAACUGUGUGGCUUGGGACCGGAAGGCGCGACGGGUACGUCCGGGGUAGGAGUGAAAUCCUGUAAUCCUGGACGGACCGCCGAUGGCGAAAGCACGUCGCGAAAACGGAUCCGACAGUGAGGGACGAAAGCUAGGGUCUCGAACCGGAUUAGAUACCCGGGUAGUCCUAGCCGUAAACACUGCCUGCUAGGUGUGGCUCCCACUACGAGUGGGUGCUGUGCCGUAGGGAAGCCGCUAAGCAGGCCGCCUGGGAAGCACGUCCGCAAGGAUGAAACUUAAAGGAAUUGGCGGGGGAGCACUACAACCGGAGGAGCCUGCGGUUUAAUUGGACUCAACGCCGGACAUCUCACCAGCAUCGACUGUAGUAAUGACGAUCAGGUUGAUGACCUUAUCCGAGCUACAGAGAGGAGGUGCAUGGCCGCCGUCAGCUCGUACCGUGAGGCGUCCUGUUAAGUCAGGCAACGAGCGAGACCCGCAUCUCUACUUGCCAGCAACGCUGUGAAGCGGUUGGGGACAGUAGAGAGACUGCCGUGGCCAACACGGAGGAAGGAACGGGCAACGGUAGGUCAGUAUGCCCCGAAUGUGCUGGGCAACACGCGGGCUACAAUGGUC
rnacentral:rRNA from 1 species